ACGGCCAUACCAUGCUGAAUAUACCGGUUCUCGUUAGAUCACCGAAGUCAAGCAUACCGAAGUCAGUACUUGGGUGGGUGACCACCUGGGAACACCGCGUGCCGUUG